rnacentral:rRNA from 1 species
UGGAUUAGGCAUGCAAGUCGUACGGGUCGGUGUAGCAAUACAACGGCAAGUGGCGAAAGGGAGAGUAACACGUAGAUACCUACCCUCUGGUCGGGGAUACCGCGGCAUAACCGCAAGUAAUACCCGGUAAAAUCUCCGGAUCAAAGGUGUGAUUCCGCCGGAGGAGGGGUCUGCGUUCUAUCAGCUUGUUGGUGAGGUAAUGGCUCACCAAGGCUAAGACGGAUACGGGGUGUGAGAGCAUGCCCCCGCUCACUGGGACUGAGACACUGCCCAGACACCUACGGGUGGCUGCAGUCGAGAAUCUUCGGCAAUGGGCGCAAGCCUGACCGAGCGACGCCGCGUGCGGGAUGAAGGCCUUCGGGUUGUAAACCGCUGUCGAGGGGAAUGAAGUGUAGGUGGGUACUCCCAUCUAUUUGACAGAUCCCUGGAGGAAGCAUGGGCUAAGUUCGUGCCAGCAGCCGCGGUA